GAUGAACGCUGGCGGCGUGCCUAAUACAUGCAAGUCGAGCGAACAGAUGAGGAGCUUGCUCCUCUGACGUUAGCGGCGGACGGGGGAGUAACACGUGGAUAACCUACCUAUAAGACUGGGAUAACGUCGGGAAACCGGAGCUAAUACCGGAUAAUAUAUUGAACCGCAUGGUUCAAUAGGGAAAGACGCUUUUUCUGUCACUUAUAGAUGGAUCCGCGCCGCAUUAGCUAGUUGGUAAGGUAACGGCUUACCAAGGCAACGAUGCGUAGCCGACCUGAGAGGGUGAUCGGCCACACUGGAGCUGCGACACGGCCCAGACUCCUACGGGAGGCAGCAGUAGGGAAUCUUACGCAAUGGGCGAAAGCCUGACGGAGCAACGCCGCGUGAGUGAUGAAGGUCUUCGGAUCGUAGAACUCUGUUAUUAGGGAAGAACAAAUGUGUAAGUAACUAUGCACGUCUUGACGGUACCUAAUCAGAAAGCCACGGCUAACUACGUG
rnacentral:rRNA from 1 species